AUUGAACGCUGGCGGCAUGCCUUACACAUGCAAGUCGAACGGCAGCACGGGAGCAAUCCUGGUGGCGAGUGGCGAACGGGUGAGUAAUAUAUCGGAACGUGCCCAGUCGUGGGGGAUAACGUAGCGAAAGCUACGCUAAUACCGCAUACGAUCUAUGGAUGAAAGCGGGGGAUCGCAAGACCUCGCGCGAUUGGAGCGGCCGAUAUCAGAUUAGGUAGUUGGUGAGGUAAAGGCUCACCAAGCCGACGAUCUGUAGCUGGUCUGAGAGGACGACAGCCACACUGGGACUGAGACACGGCCCAGACUCCUACGGA
rnacentral:rRNA from 1 species